rnacentral:rRNA from 1 species
ACCGAGAUGGAUCUGGCUGGGACCCGGUUUGGAAGACCUAGGCUGCCUUCGGGCGUCCGGUGUACAUUUAAUAACCAACUUAGAACUGGUACGGACAAGGGGAAUCUGACUGUCUAAUUAAAACAUAGCAUUGCGAUGGCCAGAAAGUGGUGUUGACGCAAUGUGAUUUCUGCCCA